rnacentral:SRP_RNA from 1 species
CCGUGCUAGACGGGGAGGUAGCGGUGCCCUGUAGCCCGCAAUCCGCUAUAGCGGGGUCAAAUUCCCGUUCAGAGGCAAUCACCUUGUGGGGCUUGCCCGGCUGAUGCAAGCGAUGAAGGCUGGGCCCUGUGCAACGAUAUCCCAUGAACCCCGCCAGGCCCGGGAGGGAGCAACGGUAAAUGGUCAAUAUCGUGUGCCGCAGGUCUACCUGGCCCAAGUAAGCUAACCGGUCACACCUGGAAGGUGAUGUCGAUGGCGGGUGCACGG